rnacentral:rRNA from 1 species
GACGAACGCUGGCGGCGUGCUUAACACAUGCAAGUCGAACGGAAAGGCCUCUUUCGGGGGGUACUCGAGUGGCGAACGGGUGAGUAACACGUGAGUAACCUGCCCUUGACUUUGGGAUAACUUCAGGAAACUGGGGCUAAUACCGGAUAGGAGCUCCUGCUGCAUGGUGGGGGUUGGAAAGUUUCGGCGGUUGGGGAUGGACUCGCGGCUUAUCAGCUUGUUGGUGGGGGAGUGGCUUACCAAGGCUUUGACGGGUAGCCGGCCUGAGAGGGUGACCGGCCACAUUGGGACUGAGGUGCGGCCCAGACUCCUACGGGAGGCAGCAGUGGGGAAUAUUGCACAAUGGGUGGAAGCCUGAUGCAGCAACGCCGUGUGCGGGAUGACGGCCUUCGGGUUGUAAACCGCUUUCGCUCAUGACGAAGCUUUGUGUGACGGUAGUGGGUAAAGAAGCACCGGCUAACUACGUG